rnacentral:lncRNA from 1 species
UUUAAAAUUGGAUAUACAUAAUCUCUAUCAUAUAUACGGGUAAGAUUAAAAAGUCAAAAUCAACUACCACUAUUAUUAGUAAGACUAAAAUUUCUCAAUCUGCUACUAUAUAAUUGUAGCCAAUGCAUAUCAGAAAGGUUGGAAGAGUUUCUGAUCCCCUGCUACGCUAAAAUUAUCAUCGUGACGCUGCAAAAAUUCUUUAUGCAUACUGCGAAAGCAAAUUGGGGCAGUUAAUAGCCCUAAUCUCUAUUUAAGCAGUUAAUUGCGCGCAUAUUCUUGUAAAGCAUUGCAUGAAUAUGAGCUCCUUGUCUCUCCGAUCAACAAUAUUAGUACGAGUGAGUCGACAUGAGUGAGGCGGCACCUGGGGAUAGUUAUAGAGGGCGUAAGGCGGGGAAAGAGGUGUUGACGAGGCCAAUUCGAAGGCUUAAUUAGCUGGAUCGAGGUGGUGGAAUUUCACCAAGUCGCUUCUCUAUUAUGUAUGGGCUUGAAUUGUAUUGCUUGUCCAAUCCCCUGAUUGUUUUGGAGACAUGUUUGUUGACUAAAUGUAUUAGGAUACAAGGGAAACAUGAACGUAAAGCUGAUUCUUCAAAAAAAAAAAUUGUAUUUAAAGCUGAUGAUGUAAUAAUUCUGAUAUUUUCAGAAUGAUUGGGG